rnacentral:antisense_RNA from 14 species
CUUCACCGAGCCGAGCAGCAGCGGCUUGUCCUCGUCGCGCUGCUGACCGUAGGUGGCGAGCAGCGCCUGCGCCUC